rnacentral:rRNA from 1 species
AGAGCGAACGCUGGCGGCAGGCCUAAUACAUGCAAGUCGAACGGAUCCUUCGGGAUUAGUGGCGGACGGGUGAGUAACACGUGGGAACGUGCCCUUUGGUUCGGAACAACUCAGGGAAACUUGAGCUAAUACCGAAUGUGCCCUUCGGGGGAAAGAUUUAUCGCCAUUGGAGCGGCCCGCGUCUGAUUAGCUAGUUGGUGGGGUAAAGGCCCACCAAGGCGACGAUCAGUAGCUGGUCUGAGAGGAUGAUCAGCCACACUGGGACUGAGACACGGCCCAGACUCCUACGGGAGGCAGCAGUAGGGAAUCUUGCGCAAUGGGCGAAAGCCUGACGCAGCCAUGCCGCGUGAAUGAUGAAGGUCUUAGGAUUGUAAAAUUCUUUCAGCGGGACGAUAAUGACGGUACCCGCAGAAGAAGCCCCGGCUAACUCGCGCCAGCAGCCGC